CGGGUGUCCGUGCUCGUCAUACUGCACGGGAGUCGGAAAGUAAACUUCACUGUUGUUAACGAGCAGUUUAGCUCCGUCUGACGCUCUGAAGAUCCACGGGUGAGCUGGAAAACACGUGCUUUAGUCCCAGUCGGCGGGCCCUCUUCAUAUCCUUGCAUGGCGCUGUCAUUUGGCGAGGUCAGAUCUCCUCCAGUGAAGCCCUCUGGUGUAAAUUCCAGCCGCUUUUUACAGCCCAAGCGCCUCUGAAUACUGCAACACUUCCUGCCUUUGAACGGGAAAGGAUGAAAUUCGGGGUCAAAGAGGAGUUGUUUAAACAUCGGCUGAACAGAUACAGACCUUUAAAGCGAAGGAAUGAAUGCCGUAAAAGCCAUCCUGGCACUCGCAGACCUGCCUUUCGUUGCAGUAGCCUCCAUUGCGGCAACCACCAGGGCACUUUGCUUCAGAAAAAGGAGACAUAAACGGACAUCAAAAAGAGCAGUGAAUUUAGUAACAGUACUCCCUUCAAAAGAACUGACACCAGCAUAUAAGGGGAAAAAUGGCUUUGAGGUGAAACCACAAUGUCAACAACUUUUUCAAAUGUAAUGCGGCCCUGUGCACAUGUGUUUCAAUGUAAUGCUUUUAAACUGUGUUAUUUAGUGUUCUUGAUAUUCUGUCA